UAGUUUUGGAUAAAUUUGUCACAAGUGUACCAGUUUGGGGUUUUUCAAGGUAUUAACUCUAAUUACAAAAUGUUAUACUUGAUUAAGUACACGGCAGUAACCCUCCCAUGCCCAAGCCAUUGUUCAGUUUUAAUUGAUACUUUUUGAUGCAUUCUCCUGUUAUAUAAUCAGGAUACAAUCCAUAUAUCCUACAACAACUUGGUUACCGGAGAAAACCUGUAUAACAAGCUUUCUCUUGUUGAUUCGGCCUCCUUUUACUCAUGGGCUAAAGUGAAAGGCAUUUGACUUGUUUGCUUCCUCUAUUGUUUUCAUGGGUUGUAUUGGCUUUUCAUAUGUGGAGGCUUUUGCUCCAUUGACUAAGUUUUUUUCUUAUAUUUUUGGGUGAUUAUGCAAGGUGCUCUUCAGUUUACUUCUUUCUUUUGAUAUCAAGUCCAUUAUCGAAAGGAACCGCAAACAUGCCAUCUCGGACAAGUAACAACGAUGUCGGACGUACUCUGGAUGUUGUUCCUUCGCCAUUAAGUGCUGAAAAGUCUGCCGGUUCAGUUGCUCUGGUCAAAGCAAGUUCUGAGAAAGUUAAAACUAAGACCUGCAGGAGAAUACCUGACUGCAGGUGCUGCGUGAGGCAAAAUGCUGCUCGGAACUGCUCUAAAACUUGAGAAAAACAAGCCUGUAAUCCCAAAAAAGGACUAACUGUUGCAAAAAGUCGAGAGAGUUCUCUUCAAACAAGACCAAGCCAAUGUCAUGCUUCUACACAAGAUAAAACAUGUUGGAUUUAUUUCUUUCUCGGAAUUUGUUUUGUGAACGCAAACAUGUGUCCUAUUAGCUUAGUAGUUGAAGUAUGAAUUGUAAACAUUAGAAGGAUGAAAUAUUCAUUUGUUAAUGUAAGUAAAUUUCAUCUUGGUUUCUUUACUUACUUUGUGUAACAAGAGAUUCAUUUGUCAAUUGCAAUACGAGGAGAAUUUUGAUA